GAGUAAUACGUAAGCAACCUGGCCUUUACAGGGGGAGUAACUGAUGGAAACGUCAGCUAAGACCGCAUAGGUACAGAGAUCGCAUGAUAACUGUAUUAAAAGUGCUACGGGACUGGUAGAGGAUGGGCUUACGGCGCAUUAGCUUGUUGGAGGGGUAACGGCCCACCAAGGCGACGAUGCGUAGCCGACCUGAGAGGGUGACCGGCCACACUGGGACUGAGACACGGCCCAGACUCCUACGGGAGGCAGCAUG
rnacentral:rRNA from 1 species